AUUGAACGCUGGCGGCAUGCCUUACACAUGCAAGUCGAACGGCAGCGGGCCUUCGGGUGCCGGCGAGUGGCGAACGGGUGAGUAAUGCAUCGGAACGUGCCAUUGAGUGGGGGAUAACGUAGCGAAAGUUACGCUAAUACCGCAUAUUCUGUGAGCAGGAAAGCAGGGGACCGCAAGGCCUUGCGCUCUUUGAGCGGCCGAUGUCAGAUUAGCUAGUUGGUGAGGUAAAGGCUUACCAAGGCGACGAUCUGUAGCGGGUCUGAGAGGAUGAUCCGCCACACUGGAACUGAGACACGGUCCAGACUCCUACGGGAGGCAGCAGUGGGGAAUUUUGGACAAUGGGGGCAACCCUGAUCCAGCCAUGCCGCGUGAGUGAAGAAGGCCU
rnacentral:rRNA from 1 species